ACGCUCGACACCUACGGGAGCAGCAGUGGGGAAUAUUGCACAAUGGGGGAAACCCUGAUGCAGCAACGCCGCGUGAAGGAAGACGGUUUUCGGAUUGUAAACUUCUGUUCUUAGUGAAGAUAGUGACGGUAGCUAAGGAGCAAGCCACGGCUAACUACGUGCCAUCAGCCGCGGUAAUCUGAGCGGGCUGGCAAGGC
rnacentral:rRNA from 1 species